GGGGAUAUAGCUCAAUUGGUAGAGUGCUUGCCUCAAAUGCACAAGGCCCUGGGUUCACUCCCCAGCAUCACAG
rfam:Ictidomys tridecemlineatus contig082140, whole genome shotgun sequence.